UACGUAGGUCGCAAGCGUUAUCCGGAUUUACUGGGCGUAAAGCGUCCGCAGCUGGUUUGAUAAGUUCGCUUUUAAAUAUCCUGGCUCAACCAGGAAAAGGGAGCGAAUACUGUUAUACUAGAGUUAGAUAGGGGGUAGUAGAAUUUCAGGUGGAGGGGUGAAAUCCGUUGAUGAUCUGAAGGAAUACCAAAGCGAAGGCAGCUACCUAU
rnacentral:rRNA from 1 species